GAUAAACGCUGGCGGCGCACAUAAGACAUGCAAGUCGAACGGACUUAACUCAUUCUUUUAGAUUGAGAGCGGUUAGUGGCGGACUGGUGAGUAACACGUAAGCAACCUGCCUAUUAGAGGGGAAUAACAGUGAGAAAUCAUUGCUAAUACCGCAUAUGCCUAAGUACCACAUGGUACAAUAGGGAAAGGAGCAAUCCGCUGAUAGAUGGGCUUGCGUCUGAUUAGAUAGUUGGUGGGGUAACGGCCUACCAAGUCGACGAUCAGUAGCCGGACUGAGAGGUUGAACGGCCACAUUGGGACUGAGAUACGGCCCAG
rnacentral:rRNA from 1 species